rnacentral:rRNA from 1 species
AUGAAUAGUGUAGAGUUAAAUGGUGUUCUUGGUUGCUCAGCUAAAACCCCAUUAUUACUCUGUAUUCAGUUCUCAUUUCCUUGUCAUUGCCUCUGCAACUCAGAUCUUCCUGGCACAUUGUAUUUCUGCAGUGUAGAAGAGGAUGUGGUCCAUGGCUUGCCCUAUAUUGAAGUACUUUGUGAGAGACCUUCAAUCCUCAUGGUCACUGGUGGAAACUGCUGGGCUGUGGUGAGGGAAGGGAAAGGCAACAGAGAGGAAGAUGGCGGUGAUUCUGACGACCAUUUAGAGUUAUCUCUGGCGGUAUUGUUGUUGAUGAUGAUAGUGUAUUCCUCUUAG